rnacentral:ncRNA from 1 species
GAAUUGUUUUUAUAAUUUUUUUUUUAAUAUUGCAGUUUUUCGAAUAAAAGUAAAUUUAGAGAUAUGUGUAACCAACAUUGCUAAUUUUAUUUUCAAUGGAGGGGGCUAAAAUUUUAACCUUGUGACAGGACUUACGGGACAAGGGACAGUUUCAGGUAGACAAUUUCUAUGGUGCAUAGGCCUCCCAAAAGGUAAUGGAGGCAUGCAAAGAUUUCCUCGGGAUGGAUGGAGAUUGGCCCUCGAGUUCAAAGGCAAAAGGGAGCUUGACUGCAAGACCCACCUUUUGAAUAGGGACGAAAGUCAGCCUUAGUGAUCCGACCCUGCCAAGAGAAAGGGUCGUCGCUCAACGGAUAAAAGUUACUUUAGGGAUAACAGAUUGAUCUUACACAAGAGCUCAUAUUGACCGGAAGGUUUGGCACCUCAAUGUCCUCUCUA